rnacentral:rRNA from 1 species
GAUCAUGGCUCAGGAUGAACGCUGGCGGCGUGCCUAACACAUGCAAGUCGAACGGAGUUUAUGAGGAAGAAGCUUCGGCGGAAUUCUUAUAAACUUAGUGGCGGACGGGUGAGUAACACGUGGAGAACCUGCCUCUUACCGGGGGGACAGCAGUUGGAAACGACUGCUAAUACCGCAUAAGCGCACAGUUUCGCAUGAAACAGUGUGAAAAACUCCGGUGGUAUGAGAUGGACUCGCGUCUGAUUAGAUAGUUGGUGAGGUAACGGCUCACCAAGUCGACGAUCAGUAGCCGGACUGAGAGGUCGAACGGCCACAUUGGAACUGAGAUACGGUCCAGACUCCUACGGGAGGCAGCAGUGGGGAAUAUUGGGCAAUGGGCGAAAGCCUGACCCAGCGACGCCGCGUGAAGGAUGAAGGUCUUCGGAUUGUAAACUUCUGUUGACAGGGACGAAACAAAUGACGGUACCUGUAUAGAAAGCCACGGCUAACUACGUG